rnacentral:rRNA from 1 species
AUUGAACGCUGGCGGCAGGCCUAACACAUGCAAGUCGAGCGGAUGAAGGGAGCUUGCUCCUGGAUUCAGCGGCGGACGGGUGAGUAAUGCCUAGGAAUCUGCCUGGUAGCGGGGGAUAACGUCCGGAAACGGGCGCUAAUACCGCAUACGUCCUGAGGGAGAAAGUGGGGGAUCUUCGGACCUCACGCUAUCAGAUGAGCCUAGGUCGGAUUUGCUAGUUGGUGGGGUAAAGGCCUACCAAGCCGACGAUCCGUAACUGGUCUGAGAGGAUGAUCAGUCACACUGGAACUGAGACACGGUCCAGACUCCUACGGGAGGCAGCAGUGGGGAAUAUUGGACAAUGGGCGAAAGCCUGAUCCAGCCAUGCCGCGUGUGUGAAGAAGGUCUUCGGAUUGUAAAGCACUUUAAGUUGGGAGGAAGGGCAGUAAGUUAAUACCUUGCUGUUUUGACGUUACCAACAGAAUAAGCACCGGCUAACUUCGUG